UACGUAGGGACCGAGCGUUGUCCGGAAUCAUUGGGCGUAAAGAGCGUGUAGGCGGCUUGUUAAGUCUUGCGUGAAAUCUCGGGGCUCAACCCCGAGCGGUCGUGAGAAACUGGCAGGCUAGAGUCCGGAAGAGGAGAGUGGAAUUCCUGGUGUAGCGGUGAAAUGCGCAGAUAUCAGGAGGAACACCCGUGGCGAAAGCGGCUCUCUGGGACGGUACUGACGCUGAGACGCGAAAGCGUGGGGAGCAAACAGG
rnacentral:rRNA from 1 species